CAAACGUCGGGAGCAUGGACAUGGCGGCGGCGGCGGGACGCGGCGGGCUCGGGAUCAAACGGUGCCUCGACGCCUCUCCUCUCGGUCUCGCAUCAAAUCAAAUCGAAUUAAGUCCAUGCGCGACAGAGGGUCCCGAUGAGAGCAGACACCUCGGGCAGCCAAAGAGCGCACGGCUGGGGGAGCGCGGAGAAGCGGCGCAGAGCUGAUCCCUCGGCUGGAGGAAGGAUGGCGCCAGAGCGCACGGAGCCUGCCGCAGUACGCCCUCACGUCCCCGGCAGCUCUCACAAAUCAAUCAGGACUUCCACAAAGCCUGGAACUUUAAAAGUGGGAGCGUCAACAAUGUGUUAAGCGAAAAGAGAAAAAAACCCCAGCAGCGUUUACAUUUAAAUGAGCAGAAACACGCGGUUACAAACAAUUUAUUCCAACAACUAAAAAUAAAUUAGGUUGGUUGUCUUGUAUGGCAGGAUUUGUGUUGGUUCAUUUCAAAUGAUUUUAGCUGUCAUUUAAAAUAAAUGAGUACGAAACAGGA